GAUCCUGGCUCAGGGUGAACGCUAGCUACAGGCUUAACACAUGCAAGUCGAGGGGCAGCAUGACUUAGCUUGCUAAGUUUGAUGGCGACCGGCGCACGGGUGAGUAACACGUAUCCAACCUGCCGAUGACUCGGGGAUAGCCUUUCGAAAGAAAGAUUAAUACCCGAUGGCAUAGUUCUUCCGCAUGGUAGAACUAUUAAAAGAAUUUCGGUCAUCGAUGGGGAUGCGUUCCAUUAGGUUGUUGG
rnacentral:rRNA from 1 species